UCUCUCACCCUCUUUUUUUUUUAUCUUCUUCUCCUUCUCUCUCUAGAGGACUUGGGUUGAGAGCUUUGGGAGGGGAAUUAAAAGAGAAGUUGAAUGGAAACUUGGUGGAAUUGGAGAAGAUGUAGCUCCAGCCCAUGAGGAGCUCAAGUGGCCAUGAGUCAAAGUGGGUUAUCUUGUAAUUUCUGGUUGGGGCUUGAUGUAAAUCUCCUUUAGUACUUGUUUUUGAGGUUCUUAUGUGGUUUUCUUGAUUGGUUGAGCUUGUAGCUGCCAUGAAAAUCAUAGAAAAAGCUUUAUGUAUCAUGUGUGAAGGUUGGCAGAUGGGAAGUAGCUUGCUGAAAUUUGACAACCUGAGGAUUGAGGUUCUCGCUUGGAAAUGAUCGUGUAUAAACCUAAUUGGGGGUAAAGCGAACGCGUUGGUGAAGUCGGUUCAGCAAUCCGUCGAGCCUACGCGAAGAUAUCGCCAAAAGGACGUUUUCGGCAUCAAUUGUCGCGAGCGCGGAUCGCGAUUCUUGGGAGAGUGCGGGAAGUGGAUUUCUCGCGUUCCGGUAUCAAGUAAAGGUUCGUACGUGAGCGGCGCGGCGGCACGAGGAUAGGGCGUAGCUCCAUAGAUAGCGCCCUACCACUGAGACCGAGAUAGCAAUACCCUGAAGAGGUCUAGCUCAGUUCAGAUUAAAAGAAUCAAAUUUGUAGUAAAUUGUAUAAGUUGUAAUUUGUAAAAAGGCUUAUGUAAUAACUUAAAGGUAUUUGUGAUAUUGUAAAUUGUAAUAAAUCUCUGAGAUGAAUGCAUGUAAUAGCAUAGUUAGCAUUUUAUGUUUUUGAUACUUAUGCAA